CGUGGCCUGGUGGGUAACACACCAAGCUGGUAACCUGGGGGUCGCAGGGUCGAGCCCGGGC
rnacentral:tRNA from 11 species